rnacentral:tRNA from 1 species
AAAGAAGUAAGCUAAUAUUAAGCUUUUAGGUUCAUACCCUGAUCAUGAAAGAAGGACUUUCCUUCUUUA